rnacentral:pre_miRNA from 1 species
ACUAAAUUCAGACCGUCGGUCUACCGAGCAAUUGCAGACGCUCGGUGGAAGAUUUUUCCUUGGUCAU